rnacentral:rRNA from 1 species
GCCGGCCCCGGUAAUUGAAUGCUAAGAGAAUGGAAUAUCAAAGAAUAACUUUCUUAAAAUUAAAAAUUGAAAUUUUUUUAAUUUGUGUAAAAACAAUUAUAAAAAUUAAAGACAAGAAGACCCUAAGAAUUUUUAAAAUUUAAAUUGAUACAUUUUUGUUUUAAUUAAAUUUUAACUGGGGCGGUUAAAAAAUAUUAAAAACUUUUUAAUUUUGAAAAAUGAUCCAUUAUUAAUGAAAAUAUGAUAAAAUACUCUAGGGAUAACAGCGUUAUAUUUUUUGAUAGAUCAUAUUGACAAAAAAGUUUGCGACCUCGAUG